AGCUUUGUGCAGGGGCAGUAUCAUUGCUAAUGAGGAUAAUCUGAGGUGUGAUUAUAGCUAGUUGAAAACUUUUCCCAAUAUCCCGCCAUGUUGAUUUGAAAUAUAGUCGGCAUUGGCAAUUUUUGAUAGUCUCAUGUGAGA
rfam:Chelonia mydas contig200145, whole genome shotgun sequence.